UAGAAGCAAGUAAGCGAUAUAAAAGUUUGUCUUCACAUUUGUAACCUUGAUUUGAACAAGGAGAAAAACAAUUACAUAUCAUAUAUCAUGAGCUUGAGAGGCAUCCGGAACUCAGCGUCAAACAUUUGUUCAUGUCCCGAAUCCAAUCCUCAGCGUGGAACGGCUGGUCUCAAGACGUGAAAGACUUCGGCUGGUUCGCUAGGAAUUGAUUGAGAGAUGCAAACUGAUUACCACCAUGGCUGAAAUUACCCUGCUGCUGAUUGGUCCUCUCUUGCAACAACUGAAUCAACAUCUGGGUGUUAGCAUUUGUUAGAGCCAUGACCGCUUGCCAAGCCUCUGCAGAAGGAGGCGGAGGAGGAGGAAGCGGCGGCAGCGGAGGAGGAGGCGGAGGAGGUGGCGGCGGCGGAACAUCAGCACCCUCGCGACCCGGAUUCUGGCGAGUUGGUGGAGCCAUCCUGAAGACGGACAACACAUUAGAUCAGAGAAUAACAUUCAAGGUAAAGUUGAAUCAAUAGGCAGAAAUAUCUGAACAAGAAUAUUUAGCAAUUGCAC
rnacentral:lncRNA from 1 species